rnacentral:rRNA from 1 species
CGCGUGCGGGAUGACGGCCUUCGGGUUGUAAACCGCUUUCAGCAGGGACGAGGCCGCAAGGUGACGGUACCUGCAGAAGAAGCCCCGGCUAACUACGUGCC